ACACUACUCCUCUUUAGAAAACACACACCGCGCUCCAAUCCCUCUUCUCCAUCAUCAUACACUCCCCACUAGCCCUAACUCUCAGCCCUAAUUCCUAUAGCCGUCCAGCCGGUGAAGCCCUCGCCUUUCGCAGCUCUCGCCAUCGAAGGUAUGCUCAUUUCCUUGCGUCGCCAGAAGGUCGUUUCAGAGCUGUUGGUCGCAUUGCCGUCUCUGCCCUCGUCGUCAAGCCCGGACCUAUCCUCGUCAUCAAGCUCGGACCUAUCCUCGUCAUCGUCGGUUCAUAGUUGCUGCUCGCCCGUCUUCUGUUCUCCUGUUUUUGGUGUUUCAAGUUCGUUAAUUGGUUUUCGAGUAAUAAUUGUUUGUCCUUUAUUAUCGUCAGAGAUUAGCAUCAAGCUUCGCGUUGCAUAUGCAACGGAGAUCUCCACUCGAUUCGUGUUAUCUCUCUUUAUUCGACAUCCGUUCUCAACUACUCUGCCUCCUCGUUGAGAUCCGGCUUCAAUUUCUCUCCAACGAUGCCGACAUUAAUCUCAGGGAAGUUUCUUAUUAUUUUAUUUUCUAUUUAAUUGAUUUAUCAUUUAUUUCAUCUUUUUUUUUGCUAUCUAGUUUAAUCUUGGAAGAUGUUUUUAACAAACUAUUGAGAGAUGAAUUUGCUUUUUUUGAGAUUCAGAUUUGGUUUUAAAAUUUGAGUAGAUUCUCUAUAAAAUUCAUGUAUGUUAGGGUUAUCUAUUAGGAAUUAGGUUGACUUUUUGGAUCAGUUUUAAUUGAUGAGUUUCCAUUUACACUCUUUGUCUCUAAUUCGAAAAAUCUAUUGACAGAACACAGUAUUAUAGUACUAAGUAAUCACUGUCACUGAAUUGUUUUGCAACUUGUAAUGAUAAUAUAAUUGAUCAUAUUCUUGCUCAUUGAAGGUUAUUUACACAUGGAUGGAAGGUAUAAGUAGUGCUAACACAGUUGAAAAUGGUGUACAUCAUUCUCAAGUUCGAUGUAGUGGAGACUAGAAAGAUACAAUUGUCUGGAGAUUUUACCAAUCUGCCAGCUUUUAAUGAAAGCAUUGCUGAGGACAGAGUUAUUUUUUCAGUAGUGGACACAAAGCUAUCUUUCUUUCAGGAGCAUGCUGAAGAAGAAAGCCAAUUUAAUUACUUCUGGUGUUUGAUUGAAAGAAUUCAAGGUGAAGGAGUAACAUCUAAUUCCAAAGUUGAAUUUUAUUCAAAGCUGUGCUCACAUGCUGAUCAUAUAAUGGAAACCAUCUAGAGGCAUUUCAAGAAUGAAGAUGUUCAGGUUCUUCCGCUUGCACAGAAGCACUUUAGUAUCAAAAGGCAAUGUGAACUUUUAUAUCAAAGCUUGUGCAUAAUGCCUCUGAAAUUGAUUAAAUGUGUGCUGCCAUGGUUGAUUGGAUCAUUGACUAAAGAUCUGAAAAAUAUUUCCAGCAACAGAAUUUGCUGUAGUCACACUACUUUUGUGGUUGGGCUUGCAAGGCUCAUAACUAUGAUAAAAUUAUAUUCUAAGCUCUAUGAAUGUUGGUGAUAUAUCAUAUAUUAUUUCAUGCAGAGCACAUUUCACAUUUUAAUGAAGAGGCACACUCUCCAUACAUCAAGAAGUAGAAGACCAUCAUGCAUCCAGGAGAGGUACAAAGGAUUCAAAUAGUACGUGCUUUAUAUCAAGAUCAUGAUAUAUAUAUCUAU